rnacentral:rRNA from 1 species
UACGUAGGGCGCAAGCGUUGUCCGGAAUUAUUGGGCGUAAAGAGCUCGUAGGCGGUCUGUCGCGUCCGUUGUGAAAACUCGAGGCUCAACCUCGGGCUUGCAGUGGAUACGGGCAGACUAGAGUGCGGUAGGGGAGACUGGAAUUCCUGGUGUAGCGGUGGAAUGCGCAGAUAUCAGGAGGAACACCGAUGGCGAAAGCAGGUCUCUGGGCCGCAACUGACGCUGAGGAGCGAAAGCAUGGGGAGCGAACAGG